rnacentral:rRNA from 2 species
GACGAACCGUGCGAACGUUGUUCGGAAUCACUGGGCUUAAAGGGCGCGUAGGCGGGUCGAAAAGUCCGUGGUGAAAUCCCCCCGCUCAACGGGGGAACGGCCGCGGAUACUGUCGGCCUCGAGGGGGGUAGGGGCGAGCGGAACGCUGGGUGGAGCGGUGAAAUGCGUUGAUAUCCAGCGGAACUCCGGUGGCGAAGGCGGCUCGCUGGACCUUCACUGACGCUGAGGCGCGAAAGCCAGGGGAGCGAACGGG